rnacentral:lncRNA from 1 species
UUGGAUAUGGUGGAGAAGGUGGCUUGCCGUUAGGUCAAAGGCCUGAAAGUGGAUUACUGUAUACAUCUUCUGGAAUGUGAAAACCAACUGUGGAGAUUUACUUACAUCAUGGUGAGAGUUGCCACCCAGCUCUCCUUGGAGGCACCUCCCGGGGCAGUUGUAAGGAGCCCUGAUAAAGAUUUAUGUGGUUUGUUUGCCUUCCCCAAGCCUUUGAAGACCAACAGAGGAGGUAAUGUUUAUGGUUGGUUGGUUAACAGUACAGCUCUCUGGGGUCUCCUUCUGCGACCCCUGGGCUGA